GAGCUAAUGAUGAGAAACAUAAAUAUCUUAGCGGAUUUCAGUGAGAUUUUUAAUCAAUGAUCUGAUUGUUACACACACUGAAGCUC
rfam:Helianthus annuus linkage group 8, whole genome shotgun sequence.